CCUUUUGGGAAAAAAAAAGUCAGGCCUAAUUAGUUUUACACCAAAUGGCUUCCUCAUAUCUUCCAAUAUAUCCUAUUCCUUGCCAUUUAUAUUGGUCAGAGGAAAUA